rnacentral:rRNA from 1 species
UACGAAGGGUGCAAGCGUUACUCGGAAUUACUGGGCGUAAAGCGUGCGUAGGCGGUUUGUUAAGUCUGUCGUGAAAGCCCUGGGCUCAACCUGGGAAUUGCGAUGGAUACUGGCAAGCUAGAGUACGGUAGAGGAUGGUGGAAUUCCCGGUGUAGCGGUGAAAUGCGUAGAGAUCGGGAGGAACACCCGUGGCGAAGGCGGCCAUCUGGAUCAGUACUGACGCUGAGGUACGAAAGCGUGGGGAGCAAACAGG